UCCCGUUUAGCUCAGUUGGUAGAGCGCGUCACUAGUACGUCCGAUCGGACCGCUAUGACGAGGUCAGUCGUUCGAGUCGGCUAAUGGGAA
rnacentral:tRNA from 1 species